rnacentral:lncRNA from 1 species
AUAAAUAAAUAAAAAAUCACACUUCCCAUAUUGCCUGAAACUUUUCUUCUUUCUUUUUUAUUUGGUCCUGGGAACUGAACCCAGGGCUUUCAUGCUGAGCUACAGCCUCAGCCCCUUUUAAAAUUUUUAUUUUGAGACAAGGUCUCACUAAGUUGCUAAGUUUCCCAGUCUGGAUUUGAACUAAAAUUCUCCUACCUCAGCCAUCCAGCGUUUGCUUUGCUUUCUCCCGCCUUGACUUCAUCCAUAUUUAAUAUAACACAUGUUGUACUUAUUUAUAUGUCUAUUCCUUGUUUGCUUUUGAGAGAAUAUAUGUUUCACAAUGGAAAGGGUCUUUGCUUGGCUCUGUCUUAAUUGCUGUAUUCCUGGCUCCUACAUGUAAGUCAGGUAUGGCAUGUGGGAGGUACUUAAUAUGAAUUUAUUUUGUGAAUGAAAAAACACACGAAGAGAAAACUGUGCCUUGUCUCUCUUUCCACUCAGGUACCACAAUCAUGUGAAGGGUCGGAGAUGGAGUUUCAGUAUGGGUGCCUGGACACAAGGGCAGGACUUCCAGAAAUGUGGAAACACAGAGAAGAAGCCAUUUGAAAGGAGUAGGAGUUCAGAAGGGACCAUUUUGAGUUUGAGUGACUUGAGAAAUACCCAGUGAAUGUGUCCAUGAGGAUUUUGGAGAUCUGGGUCUGGACAGAGAAAACCUUUAAAAAUACAACAUCCCAGGCCCCUGUUGAAGAAUUCCUGGGAGUGGAAAAUCCAGUUUUCGGCCUCUGGUCCCUUCAGCCCUUCAGCUCUGUUGGACAAAGGGACAUCUGUGCUUUCCCCGGCAGAGACUUGGAAAAUCUGAGGCCCUGGCUCUGUGGUAGGGGAAGGCUGGAGGGUGGGGAGGGCUCUGUCCUGGGGCAGCCAGGAGGGCAUGCAGCUCCCCAUUAGGUGCCAAAGUCACUGUGUUUUCCCAGUGUGGGGUCACCCAUAUUCACAAUGGAUUCAGCUUCCUGAAGUAGGGCCUCAAAAAAACUUCCCUCUUCACUUUGCUGAUAUCUGAAUGCCAUAAUAUUGAACUUUAUUCCUUUUGACUUGAGCAUCAACUCUGGCACUUGUUAAAAAUAUUUCUGGAAGGGAACAUGUAUUUAGCCUAUCAGUCACUUACAUCUUGGUAUAAAUGAGGUUACUGACUCUUCCCUCAGGAAGUCUGAUGGAGGGGAUGGUGGUGGGGAAGUGGAGGUAGUGGUUGAAUGUCCAUCUGAGCCAGACAGCCUGGGUUCAGAGCACACUCUGCAGGUCCCUGAACCUCCCAGUCUGCUUUCUUGUAUAUAAAUUGGCACCAAAAACACCUGCCUCUUUAGGCUGAGGUUUUAUGAAAAGUAGUAGUAGAAUCAUAAGAGAACAAAAUGAAGACACUAGAAGCUUGGCAAAAUGCAGCUACUCACCUCAGGGGAAAUUCACUCUGCAAAGAAGAUAAAAUCUUUCUUAAUGGCAUAGUUUGUCCUGUUGAUCCCAGACUCCUUCCCUUUUCCUGUGGGUGCUAAGGUAGAUAUCUCCCAGCAUCCUCAGGACUGUGGUAUGGUCAUGGGGCUGGCUUCUGGCUAGGGAAGGUGGGCAGGGUUUUCUUCCUCCUGUGCUUGUGGUUGGCAGAGGAUCCUGUCUCAGGGGAUUGUGGGGCCAUCAAGGAGGGUGCUGGGGUCCCUGAAGAAAUGCAUGGAGCAGAGAACCUCUUCUAACCCACAAAGGAAUGUAGGAAAUACACCUUUGCUAAGCCACUGUGAUUUGGGAAUUGCUUAUUAUGGGCUUAACUUGCGCUUACUGUUGCUUUCUUUCCUUCUCAGGAUCCUGCACAAGGAGGAAGGGUGAGGUAGGAGGAAAGGGCCAAGAGCCAAGGACCUAGAAAAUAACCCAAAACAUCCUCCGCAGGCUGCAGGCACUGGUCAUCAGCUGCCAAAUGUACCUGGGGUCAACCUGGAAGUUCAAGGUGAUCACGGUAUGCAAACCAUCAAGGCUUCAACGUCCCACAAGGUGAUUACAUAUAUUGGGAAGUGGAGAUCUCAUUACCUGUGAAGUGGGGAUACUAUUUGAAUAUUAAAUGGACAUUUUUUUCCCAUUCAUAAUGCCCUGUGGCUUCCCAGCCACCGACUUAAUUUUUAUUGCUUCAAGGUAGCAAAGAUACAAAGUAGAAUUUUAAAAAUUCAUUAUAACAAAUUGCAUGGUUCCAUAAGAAACUGUAGAACAGGCAAAAUUAUAUAUGGUAGAAAAAUUCAGGAUGGCUCUGAGAUAUGGGGAUUGACUUGGAGGGGGAAAAAAAGAACUUGGAUGGUAAUCUGGGCUACAUAGGUGUCUGUGUGUAAAGGAAAAAAUAUGAGAAAAGGAAAAAAUGGAAACAAAGUCUUUGUAAAUAGGGAGGGGUGGAGGGUUGAAGGAAGGGCAAGGGAAUGGGGAAAAAAUAAGAACCAAGAUACUCAUGUAAAGGUACAAGUUCCCAAUGAUGAAUGUCACUGUAUUGUAUACGUAAAAUGUAAACUUAAUGAAAACUUAAUGAAAAAUAAACUUAAUGAAAAAAAAUUUACUUAAAAAAUCUGAAUAAAAGUUUAGCUAAUGAUAAGAAUGCAGAAGUACUAGUACAUGAAAUCUGCAAUCUAUUUUGCAAUAUUUCAGUAAUUAGGAGGGGGUUCGGGUGGAGAGAUGGCAGAUUAUUUGAUAAGGCAAGCAGAGUAAAGCUAAUGUGAAUAGGGCGGCAUCUUGGUGGCGGGCACAGGCGCAUUCACUGUAUAGCCUUUUAACUUUUGUUUGCAAAUUUUCUUAACAAACUGUUAAGAGGUGUUGGGGGUGGGGAGUUACUGUGUUUUGGAAGUCAAAAGUGACCAUCUUUAGUCCUGAGGAAAUAAAUGACAUUGAACACCAGGAUUUGCUGAGGGAUGUGCAAUUUUUGUCCAUUCUAAAAUCUUUUCUUUCCACAUCAAGAGCUAAAUCCAGUUGGUUUAUGUUACCGAGUUUCACCAAAGGCUUUGCUAUCUGAAGGGCAUUCUCAGCAGAGAGAAACUGGAAGGGAAUCAUUGUAGAGUGGGAGGACAAGGGUCUGAGCUCAGGACAGGGGCACUGCUGUGUCUCACCAACUUGGGCCUUGGCAAGGGGGGGGAAUCAUCAAAGAAUGAGCAGCACUCCUCUAUGUUCCUGGUGUCAUGGGGUGGGAGAGCAGUAGAGCCUUGUGUCCCAUGUCCCAUUGGGAGCUUUGGCAGGUUCUGGGGAGCAGCACAGAGCAGCAGGGUCUUGGGAGAUGCAGAAGAGGCCAAGGAGCCCAGUGUGGGUGCUGGCACCAGGGCAGAGGGCUGGCUGUACAGAGUGAGGCUCCAGUGAACAUCCUAGGCAUAGGCUGAGGUGAGGCCAGCCACAAGAUCCCUGGA